rnacentral:rRNA from 1 species
UACGGGGGGGGCAAGCGUUGUUCGGAAUUACUGGGCGUAAAGGGCCAGUAGGCGGCCAACUAAGUCGGAUGUGAAAUCCCCAGGCUUAACCUGGGAACUGCAUCCGAUACUGGAUGGCUUGAAUUCGGGAGAGGGAUGCAGAAUUCCAGGUGUAGCGGUGAAAUGCGUAGAGAUCGGGAGGAACACCAGCGGCGAAGGCGGCAUCCUGGACUGGUCCUGACACUCAGGAGCGAAAGCGUGGGGAGCGAUCCGG